UACGAAGGGGGCUAGCGUUGUUCGGAAUCACUGGGCGUAAAGCGUGCGUAGGUGGCCAUGCAAGUCAGGGGUGAAAUCCCGGGGCUCAACCCCGGAACUGCCUUUGAAACUGCAUGGCUGGAGUCCCGGAGGGGGUGGCGGAAUUCCUAGUGUAGGGGUGAAAUCCGUAGAGACUAGGAGGAACACCAGUGGCGAAGGCGGCCACCUGGACGGGUACUGACACUGAGGCACGAAAGCGUGGGGAGCAAACAGG
rnacentral:misc_RNA from 1 species